rnacentral:rRNA from 1 species
UACGUAGGGUGCAAGCGUUAAUCGGAAUUACUGGGCGUAAAGCGUGCGCAGGCGGUGAUGUAAGACAGAUGUGAAAUCCCCGGGCUCAACCUGGGAACUGCAUUUGUGACUGCAUCGCUGGAGUGCGGCAGAGGGGGAUGGAAUUCCGCGUGUAGCAGUGAAAUGCGUAGAUAUGCGGAGGAACACCGAUGGCGAAGGCAAUCCCCUGGGCCUGCACUGACGCUCAUGCACGAAAGCGUGGGGGGCAAACAGG